GAUGAAGAACGUAGCGAAAUGCGAUAAGUAAUGUGAAUUGCAGAAUUCCGUGAAUCAUCGAAUCUUUGAACGCACAUUGCGCCCCCUGGCAUUCCGGGGGGCAUGCCUGUCCGAGCGUCAUUUCUGCCCUCAAGCACGGCUUGUGUGUUGGGUGUGGUCCCCCCGGGGACCUGCCCGAAAGGCAGCGGCGACGUCCGUCUGGUCCUCGAGCGUAUGGGGCUCCGUCACUCGCUCGGGAAGGACCUGCGGGGGUUGGUCACCACCAUGUUUUACCACGGUUGACCUCGGAUCAGGUAGGAGUUACCCGCUGGACUUAAGCAUAUCAAUAAGCGGAGGA
rnacentral:misc_RNA from 1 species